rfam:Triticum aestivum genome assembly, contig: Triticum_aestivum_CS42_TGACv1_scaffold_258768_3DL
UUUAAUUCGAUGCAAAGCGAAGAACCUUACCAGGGCUUGACAUGCCGCGAAUCCUCUUGAAAGAGAGGGGUGCCCUCGGGAACGCGGACACAGGUGGUGCAUGGCUGUCGUCAGCUCGUGCCGUAAGGUGUUAGGCAUAAGUAUUGUGACAUAAUGUGUAAUAACAGCCCAUAAUGCAAUAAAUAUCGAUAUAAAAGCAUGAUGCAAAAUGGACGUACCAGAGACGACGAUGUAUCCCGAAGUUCACACCCUUGCGGA